UAGGGACUAACACAACCCACAAUUCCUGC
rnacentral:piRNA from 1 species